CCUACGGGAGGCAGCAGUGGGGAAUCUUAGACAAUGGGCGCAAGCCUGAUCUAGCCAUGCCGCGUGAGUGACGAAGGCCUUAGGGUCGUAAAGCUCUUUCGCCAGGGAUGAUAAUGACAGUACCUGGUAAAGAAACCCCGGCUAACUCCGUGCCAGCAGCCGCGGUAAUACGGAGGGGGUUAGCGUUGUUCGGAAUUACUGGGCGUAAAGCGCACGUAGGCGGACUGGAAAGUUGGGGGUGAAAUCCCGGGGCUCAACCUCGGAACUGCCUCCAAAACUACUAGUCUAGAGUUCGAGAGAGGUGAGUGGAAUUCCGAGUGUAGAGGUGAAAUUCGUAGAUAUUCGGAGGAACACCAGUGGCGAAGGCGGCUCACUGGCUCGAUACUGACGCUGAGGUGCGAAAGUGUGGGGAGCAAACAGGAUUAGAUACCCUUGUAGUC
rnacentral:rRNA from 1 species